AACGCACAUUGCGCCCCCUGGUAUUCCGGGGGGCAUGCCUGUCCGAGCGUCAUUGCUGCCCUCCAGCACGGCUGGUGUGUUGGGCCGCCGUCCCCCCCCGGGGGACGGGCCCGAAAGGCAGUGGCGGCGCCGCGUCCGGUCCCCGAGCGUAUGGGGCUUUGUCACCCGCUCCGUGGGCACCGGCCGGCUGCCGGCCUCCCAUCUUCCUUAUUUUUUCAAGGUUGACCUCGGAUCAGGUAGGGAUACCCGCUGAACUUAA
rnacentral:misc_RNA from 1 species